rnacentral:rRNA from 1 species
GUCUACGGCCAUGGCACCCUGAUCUUGGAAGCUAAGUUGGGUUGGGCCUAGUUAAUAUUUGAAUGGGAGACCGCCGAGGAAGACCAGGUGCUGUAGGCA